GAUGAACGCUAGCUACAGGCUUAACACAUGCAAGUCGAGGGGAAACGACAUCGAAAGCUUGCUUUUGGUGGGCGUCGACCGGCGCACGGGUGAGUAACGCGUAUCCAACCUGCCCACCACUUGGGGAUAACCUUGCGAAAGUAAGACUAAUACCCAAUGAUAUCCCACGAAGGCAUCCGAAUGGGAUUAAAGAUUUAUCGGUGAUGGAUGGGGAUGCGUCUGAUUAGCUUGUUGGCGGGGUAACGGCCCACCAAGGCGACGAUCAGUAGGGGUUCUGAGAGGAAGGUCCCCCCACAUUGGAACUGAGACACGGUCCAAACUCCUACGGGGGGGCAGCAGUGAGGAAUAUUGGGCAAUGGGGGAAACCCUGAC
rnacentral:rRNA from 1 species